UGAAAUUAUUCAACGGCCGCGGUAUCCUAACCGUGCGAAGGUAGCGUAAUCACUUGUUCUUUAAAUGAGGACUAGUAUGAAUGGCACCACGAGGGUUCUACUGUCUCCUUUUUUUAAUCAGUGAAACUAAUCUCCCCGUGAAGAAGCGGGGAUCUUUAUAUAAGACGAGAAGACCCUAUGGAGCUUUAAACAACCAACAUUUGCUACACCAUAACAUUUUCCCCUAAAAGAAGUAUAGCAUUAUGAUUAUUAGUUUUUGAUUGGGGUGAUCACGGAGUAAAAUAUAACCUCCAUGCCGAAAGGGUUCUUACCCUGAGCAAAAAGCCACAGCUUUAAGCACUAAAAAAUUAACGCAGUUUGACCCAAUAUUUUGAUCAACGAACCAAGUUAC
rnacentral:rRNA from 1 species